CUUCAUGCAGGUGCCAGGACAUGAGGCUUGUUGGCAGUUACCCAGAGGUUAUAGAGUGACCUCUGGGUGGUCACUGGAUCACGAGUCCACACUAAUCCACUUGGCUAUACCUGAAAAGUAACCUCCCAAGAUAUUCUCCUGACUUACUGUGUUGAUUACUUUUCUCUCAUUGCUGAGACAAAAUAAUCAAUGCCCAAAAUGAAGAAAGGAAAGGUUUAUUUAGCUCACAGUUUGUAGAGGUUUCAGACCAUAAUCAGCUGAUUCCAAGGCGGAGUGGAACAUGGCAACAGUUCAUGGCAGUGAAAAACAGCACAAGCAACAAGAGAAAAGCAUAGAUAGAGGACUCUUUCUGUCCCUUAUAUUGCAUGCAGGCCACACCCACUCAGGGGUGGCACUCAAACCCUUAAUUCCAGCAUUGGAUCAUGAGUCAUUCACAAAGUCUAGAAACGAGCUUCCCUGAUUGCAUGAGGUUUUGGGGGGACACCCAGACUCAAACCAUAGCAUUUACUAAGCCAGCCUGCAAGGGAAAGGACCUCUUUUGACAAUGCAUUUUAAUUAUUCAGUCCAGGAUGUGGGCCACUCAACUACUCCAUGUCUCCAUGUUCUCCUUACCCCAUUCAUCCCAGCCUCAAGGGUUACCUGAGUGGCAGUGAAACAAGCAAAAUAGAACUCCUAACCUGUUAGAUGUCAGAUGUGCCAAAUUAGUGUUCCCUAAAGCCAAAGAAUGAAUUCUAAAGGACAAGGGAGGUUAAGAGUAGGAAAGGUUUAUUGAGAGAUGGUCCCUGAGAGACAAGAGUGUCCUGAUGGGUUGCCACCAAGGCCAGGAGUACAUAGAAAGAACAGGCAUUUGGGGGAAGGGAUGGAUCCAGAUGCUCUGGACACCCUGCUGGGCAAGUAAUGCCUGUUUGGACUUACUAGACCAGGUAGCGCUAAUUACAGGAUGACCUCAAAUUAUCCCUUAGGGAGGCAUGUAGGUCUGGCCAUUGCAUCUUUAUUUUGAGGCUUGGUCUUCUUCAGAUGCAAUGCCAGACACAGUUCCGAUGUCUAUUUUUCACUGAUUUGAGAGCCCAGUCCUUCUCUAUGUAUUAAUUUUUUAUCUAACUUAGCUGCCUAUAAUAAUAGGACAUGUAAAUGAGAUAGGUGACCAAAGAGCUUUGAAAACGAUGGAGUACUGAGUACCAGCAAAGGUGCUAGGGUAGGAUGCUUCCUUAUUGGCCUCAAGAGAAGAAGGCUGGAGGGAGACCCCCUAAGUGCCAAGGCUGCACUCUGAAGGAGAGAGCCUCCUGCAGGGAAAUGAGCAAGGUGGGGUGUGGAAGAUCAAAUGUAGCCAUCUUUGGGAAUUUUCCGGAGGGGAGAAUGAAACGACAAGGACAUGGCCCAUGGAGGCUCCGUAAGAUGCGCUCUGCAGUCAGAGGAGGCCUGAGAAGGGCCUGAAGCCAGGGCUGCAGGAACGGGGAGGAGGAGCCUGAUAUCUGCUUCUCCUGCCAUGAGCACGCCUGUGAUCCGGCAUCCCACAGGGAGAAAGAAUGAGAAUUUUCAUCAGCCUUUGAGACAGCAGGGAAGCAGGGAGAGAGAGGGACAUUCCCAUAAGAUCAAAGUGGGCACCGCUCAUUUCUGUUACCUCACCGGUCCCCGAAGCCUGGCAGACUCAGAGAUCCUGCCUCACAUCAACUUGGGGCCAAAAUCCCUUUAAUAAUCAGAGUGCAAGGGAGAGUCUUCCAGCCUUUGUGGGGGGAGCACACAUGGGGAUAACUGCCUGGGGCUCAGUAGUACCCAGAGCACAGCCGAUGCUGUUAGCAGGACAUAGAUACCUGCUAUGAGACUUUCCUAGCUGUUAGACUCCUUAGAGAUGGAUUCAACUCCUCUUACAGUUUCAAAAUCAAUGAAACAGCAAAUGAAAGGAAAGAAUGAUUCCCGCCCCCUCCAGCCCCUCUCCGCUCCCCCAGCCCCAGCCCCUUGCAUACAUGCAGUCCUAGGUAACUAAGGCCACCCACCUGGGGUGUGUCCUCCCCACUUUCUUUGCAAACACAAACACCCACAAGUGCUUAUACACAUAGUAGUGUUCUUGUUGAUUUUCACAGAAACAGAAUCAUUCUCUAGCACACUCUUUUGCAGCUACCUGUGUUCGUUCUUACAUUGUGCAUCUCUCUCCCGCUCAUUGGAUGGAAGUCAAAUUCAUUCCUUAAAUAACUGUAUGGUGUAUUUGACUGUUCUCUUUAACAUAUGCCCAGGUUGUUUCUAUUUUGCAAAAGUGUCUUAAAAAUGUCUAUCGUGUUCAGGUCACCGAACCACACUUGCUGCAAGGAAGAGAAAACACAAGCAGAGCAGAGCAGUGUGUGGGCUGAAAAUUAAUAGGAUAAGAAUGAAUUCCUGGUGCCGCAUCUCUCAGCCAGGAGGGCCCUUAGGAUGAGAAGCCUGAUCCUUGGAUUGUACAUGCAAAAGGGAGUUUUUAUCUCUCACUAGAAUUCCUUCAGUAUUCUUUGUAGGGUUGGCUUAGUGGUCAUCAAUUCCUUCAGGUGGGGCAGAGGGAGAUUGCUGAGUGGGGCAGGUAGUUGAAAGGAGGGGAAAAGUAGGGAGCCAACGGCAGGAAAAUAGCCAGGCAGACUGCGGCCCCUCCAGGGGGAGAACCACAAGCGGCUCCUGAGAUCUGCGCCAUGUUGGAACUUAGGACACUGGGAAGCCAAGCAAGCAGCUCCCCUCCCUGGUAAGCAACAGUGAACCUAACUGGUGCACGGCCUAGAGUCAAACAUCCCACUUCCCCAACCCCUUUUCUCCUGUCUCCCGUUAGCAAAUGGGAACCAGAAAUCUGAGCAUCUCCUGGGAGGUUGACUAUAGCAAAUGAGGGGGACUUCCUUCUACCAUCUCUUUGAAGGCAAAUAUUUUUAUUACUGUUUUGCUCUAUUCUGAUUAAUGGUACUGCUCUAUUCAAUAUUCUGUUUUGGUAAGUUCUAUAAUGUUCUGUAUUUCAUUUUAUUUUGAUAUACGUGAUUGAAAGAAUAACUAUUGUAAAGAUAACGAAAUAUACUGUGAUACUUAUUGCUGUCAUCCCAGUAACCUGCUGUGAAGUUCAGUACCAAUUUCACUCCACUGUCUCAGUUGGCCUUAUUCUGUCUUGAUCUGUUGUGUUGGGAGCCGCGGCCGAGCCCGGUCGCCUUACUUGGCGGACGUGAGGCCUGUAAGAAAGAGCAAAGCCUGAGCUAGAUUACCCCUCCCAUCGAGUGUGCUAAGAUGGCGCUUAUCUCCUGCUUCCUGCUUGGUAAACAACCUGCUCUGUAAGAUAGUCUGCCUAGCAACAACUGAUGUUAGCCAAUCAGCCCGCAUCGCGCGCUUUGAACUGAUUGGCCACUGUAACCCUAUAAAAGUGAGUGCCUCUCCCGCCACGAGAGGAGAAGCACGGAAGGAGCCGCGGAGAGCGGACCGGUAGAGGCUCCGGGACAGACUGUAGAGAAGAAGCACGGAAGGAGCCGCGGAGAGCGGACCGGUAGAGGCUUCGGGACAGACUGUAGAGAAGAAGCACGGAAGGAGCCGCGGGGAGCGGACCGGUUGAGGCUUCGGCCGGGUAGGAUCCCGGGGCAGACUGUGCGGAGAAGGAAAAUAAAGAGAGCCUAGCCACUGCCAGAUCUUGUCGUGUGUUCUUCCUGCCGGCCGGGAGCGACUCCGACAACUGGUGGCCCGUAUGGGGACUGAUCAACCCCGAGACGCGGCGGUGGACUGCAUUCUCCAGUACGGUGCUGCAGGACAGGGACCGGGACGAGAACCACUGUGGGUCCCAGAGAGGUUGACGCGUACGACAAGUCCCUCGACUGAGGAUCAGGCCUGUUCCACCAGAGGCCAACCGCAGACCCAACAACAAGAUGAGCCCUAAAAGAACUGCAGGACAAUCCCUUUUUGGGGGCCUGGAACGGCUUGCUCCCCUAUGUGCUACCCUCGUAUACGCAUGGCUCGCUCGCAUGGCCUACGACCAUGUUUAAAAGUGACAGGCUUCCCACAUUCUCCUCCCUAGACAACAACAUGUAACAGGGUGGGUGAGUCAAUGACGGGUAAGAGCGUGCCUCCCCAGCACGACUCAACCUAAGCCAGGCCCUACCCCAUGGCGCACGAAAGCCGCUGGAUCGCUAGAUUCCGCCCCGAAUCUAGAUGCCUCUCCAAAGGGGAUCAUAAGGAGAGACGUGAGCGUAUGCCUAUGUGCACCCAGGUUCCGUCUGACCUAUCCCUGGCCCUGGAAAAAAGGACGAGGGCCUCAAGGCCUUGGUGGACCCUGGGACGGCCGCCCGGGUUCCAACCCAAAGGCCUGCGGUGGGCCUCAGAUACAGGGCGUAGGCCUCUACGCUCGAUCCAGGAUGGGCUGCGAUGCGCUCGUUCUUGUAAAAUAAAAUAGGGGGAGAUGUUGGGAGCCGCGGCCGAGCCUGGUCGCCUUACUUGGUGGAUGUGAGGCCUGUAAGAAAGAGCAAAGCCUGAGCUAGAUUACCCCUCCCAUCGAGUGUGCUAAGAUGGCGCUUAUCUCCUGCUUCCUGCUUGGUAAACAACCCGCCCUGUAAGAUAGUCUGCCUAGCAACAACUGAUGUUAGCCAAUCAGCCCGCAUCGCGCGCUUUGAACUGAUUGGCCACUGUAACCCUAUAAAAGUGAGUGCCUCUCCCGCCACGAGAGGAGAAGCACGGAAGGAGCCGCGGAGAGCGGACCGGUAGAGGCUUCGGGACAGACUGUAGAGAAGAAGCACGGAAGGAGCCGCGGGGAGCGGACCGGUUGAGGCUUCGGCCGGGUAGGAUCCCGGGGCAGACUGUGCGGAGAAGGAAAAUAAAGAGAGCCUAGCCACUGCCA